rnacentral:SRP_RNA from 1 species
GCCAGGCGUGGUGGUGCAUGCCUGUAAUCCCAGCUACUGGGGAGGCUGAGACAGGAGAAUCGCUUGAACCCGGGAGGUGGAGGUUGCAGUGAGCUGAGAUCACACCACUGUACUCCAGCCUGGGUGACAAGAGCGAGACUCUGUCUCAA